CGGGGCGUAGCGCAGUUUGGUAGCGCACAUGGUUUGGGACCAUGGGGUCGGGGGUUCAAAUCCCUUCGCCCCGACCA
rnacentral:tRNA from 2 species